UGUAGCUCAGUCGUAGAGCACUUGCCUAGCAUGUAUGAGGCCCUGGGUUUGAUCCCCAGCA
rnacentral:tRNA from 1 species